rnacentral:rRNA from 1 species
CAGGUAUGUUAGCAAUCGUCGCUCUAUGGACCCCUUAUUUCGGUUUAUUAAUAAACUGUUAUAAGCGCGCGUCUUGUUUAAAGAGUUUAAGACACUGCGCAUGCUGUUGGGCUCUGAAAGCAACGAACGUGACCGCAACGUCUUGUUGCCUUAAUCAAGUCGGCUGUUUAAUCUGUUUAAUUAAACAGACAGCAGUCAUUAUGGCUUAUCCGAGGCUAUUUAAAACUAGACGAACCGCUGUUUCUUUUCUUAAACCAGGGGAAGGUUGCGGCAAUAACAGGUCUGUGAUGCCCUUAGAUGUUCCGGGCUGCACACGUGCUACAAUGAUCAGUACAGUGAGCAUCUCAAUUAUAAUACACACCGUUUAUUAGCGCUUAAACGCGGUUAAUAGAUCGUUAUUUGUUUAACGAGCUGUUUAAUCGUAUAUGUUUAAUGUGCGCGGUAAAGCCUGCUUCGAGAGUAAGCGGGUAAUCCAUUGGAAGUAUUGAUUUCUCUAUUUAAAGUGCACAACUAUGCACGGCGGUUAUUCCCGAGGCGGCUAGUUCUGUCUUUUAGUGUGAAUAUCCGUUAUUUAAACGUGCGUGCAAUUGUCAAUUCAUGGUGGGGACAGACCAUUGUUAACUGUUGGUCUCGGUCUUAACUAGGAAUGCCUUGUACGGGUCUUUGGUUCAACAAACCACCCGGAAUACGUCCCUGCCCUUUGUACACACCGCCCGUCGCUCUUACCGAUGAACUUGUUUGUGAGUCUAAGGGACUGGGUUAAACCACUCGAUCGUUUAUUCGUUCGGAUGGCAGUACCUAUGGAAACUUAUGCGAACAAAGUGGUUUAAAGGAAAGAGAAGUCGUAACAAGGCAACAGUAGGUGAACCUGCAGAAGGAUCA